UACUUUCUACAUUUCUGUCCUAAUGUGUUACUCUCAACAUGUUUGUCCUAAUGUGUUACUUUCUACAUUUCAGCCGAUCUAUCGUUUAGCGGGACGUAUUGUAAUAUAAGUACGUGUGAUGGAUUGGGUCUUGUAUACUGUGAUUCUGGUUGCUGCCAUGACUUUGGAAUCACCCGAUGCUGUCCAAAUUCAAUGAUGGUUGUAAUUGGAAGCAUAUUUGGCUUUCUGCUUGGCUGUAUGGUGGUAGCUGCAUGUGUUGUGAUUAAGAUUCAUAGAAGAAAUCGUAAACUUCACGCCUUAAGCAAAUACAAGAGCUGCGAGACACAAACUUCCUUAAUACCACCAAGCCCAGAAGAAAUAAAUAAUGGAGAACCACCGCGGCCAAAACAAGAACCAGGACCACCUCCUGACAAUUAUAUGGACCAUAUCUAAAAACAUUGAACAAUGUGUUGACAACUGAUAAGAUCGUGACUGUCAUUGGACAAAUAUCAAUAUACAUUUUGUAACUCGCUUUUCGUCUUAUGAUGUGAAACAAAUCAGCGGAACUAAUCAGGCUUACAUUCCACUGCUUUUUCGAGACCGGCAUCUCGCCUAGCAGUAACCAUAUGGACAACCAAAAUAAUGAAUCAAGGUAUACAGGGGAAUCUAAGAUAACGGCAAAACAUACAGAUAUACAUACUGAAUGUAAAUGAAACUGCUUUGAAGGCAUCACCGUCUAAUGAUAACAAAUAACAAGACAGUUCGGUGCUGGAAAGUACGAUAAUCGAUAAGAAUAAAGUAUCUUUUUUUUAA